UAGGGAAUAUUGGACAAUGGGGGAAACCCUGAUCCAGCCAUGCCGCGUGAGUGAUGAAGGCCCUAGGGUUGUAAAGCUCUUUCGGCGGGGAAGAUAAUGACGGUACCCGCAUAAGAAGCCCCGGCUAACUUCGUGCCAGCAGCCGUGGUAAUACGAAGGGGGCUAGCGUUGCUCGGAAUCACUGGGCGUAAAGCGCACGUAGGCGGACUCUUAAGUCGGGGGUGAAAUCCUGGAGCUCAACUCCAGAACUGCCUUCGAUACUGAGAGCCUUGAGUCCGGGAGAGGUGAGUGGAACUGCGAGUGUAGAGGUGAAAUUCGUAGAUAUUCGCAAGAACACCAGUGGCGAAGGCGGCUCACUGGCCGGGUACUGACGCUGAGGUGCGAAAGCGUGGGGAGCAAACA
rnacentral:rRNA from 1 species